ensembl:lncRNA
CCAGAAUGCAGUCCUGGGUAAUAAGUCUUGAAUUAAUGGAAAAGCUUACUGACUGCCAAAGGUUCAAGCUCCUCUUCCUAAGUGCAAAGUGCUUGCUGGGAAGUGGCUGCCCAGCCAGAGACUGUAUUUCCUAGUCUCCUUACAUCUAUGAGUGAGGCAGCACGUGACUACUUCUGACCAAUAGAAUGUAUGUAGACAUUUUGAUUGGUACUUGUGUGUGAAGUUGGGUACGUGUCUGAUAUAUGUUUUCCAAAAUGUUCCCACCUUCUCUAUUGACCUUGGAGGCCGUGUUUUGAAACUGGCAGCAUCACAAGAUGGAAGAAUCUGUGAUUACUGAAUCAUGGAGACAGUCAGGAGAGCUGUCCAACUGAACACCUGCAUUGGAUUUUGUUCCCAAGAAGAUGGACACUCUAAGCCACCCAGGGCCACAUGGAGAAGCACCAGGGUUGUGGGUGCCCUUUUAAAGAGCCCUGCUGUCUCCUAAGAUGAUGAAGGCUGCCAUGGUAGACAGAAUAGUGCCCCGCCCCCACCAAAGAUGUCUACAUCCUAGUCCCUGGAACCUGUGAGUAUGUUACCUUACGUGGCAAAAGAGACUUUGCAGAUGUGUUUAAGGGGACAGACCUUGAGAUGGGGAGACUAUCUUGAUUUUCUGAGUCCAAUGUAAUCACAAGGGUCCUUAUAAGAGGGAGACAGCAGGCUCAGACUAAAAAGAGAAGGAAAAGUGACUCUGGAAACAGAGGGAGAGGGAGGGGGUGAGGGAGGAGAGAAAGGGAGAUUUUUGAAGAUGCUAGAUUGCUGGCUUUGAAAAUGGAGAAAGAGGCCACUCCUGCGAGCAAUGUAGAUAGCUUCCAAAAACUGAAAAAGGCGACAAAACAGAUUUUCCCCUGGAGCUGUCAGAAGCGACACAGCCCCAACACCACCUCGACUUUAGCCCAGGACUUGAGGCCUCCAGAGCUGUAAGAAUAAUGAGUUUGUAUUGUUUUAAGCCACUGUGUUUGUGGUCAUUUUGUACGGCAGUAAUGAGGAGCUAUUACAGUGUCGAUAAUUCAUUCUUUGCCACUGUGGUUGAAAUGGUCCCUUCAUCAGUCUAGAGUAUUAAAAAAGCUAACACAGUUAAAAAAAAAUUAACUGAAAGUUAAAGCCUUCACUUUCUUUCCUUUCAGGCUUUCUUCUUUUCUUUGUGUUGAUGCCGAAUUCUAGGAACCAACCUAGAACGAAGAGAUUUUAAAGUUUGGGCUCAAGUGACAAGGAAGAACAAAUCUAAUUUUAUAUUUUCACUAACAUCUCCCCUUGUCUUAAAUGUCUACCCCGGGCCUUCAUCUAGGCAAAAGUAAACAAAGAUACAAAGAAAUAAAAGCUUUAACAAUUUUAAAGAAAUUUAUUGAAACAUUCUGUCUUCUAGGCACUGUGCCAGGCGCUGAAAAUAUAAAAAUGAAUUAAAUCUAGUCCCUGUUCUAGAGAACUCCCAGUUUCGUGGUGGAAUAAAGCACAUCGCCACUGUUAAGUACAUAAUCACUCAGUUGAUAUCUGAGCUCCUACUUUGUGCAAGUUUCUGUAGUUUCAGAACUGAACACAACAGACAUGGAGCCUG